rnacentral:lncRNA from 1 species
UGCCCGAGGUGAUCAUCGUCGACGAGAUCGGCACGGAGGAGGAGGCCAUCGCGUGCAGGACCAUCGCGGAGCGCGGUGUCCAGCUCGUGGGCACCGCUCACGGUCAGCUCCUGGAGAAUCUCAUCAAGAACCCCACGCUGACGGACCUCGUCGGCGGCGUGCAGUCGGUGACGCUGGGCGACGACGAGGCGCGCGCGAGGGGGUGCCAGAAGACCAUCAUGGAGCGCCAGGCGCCGCCCACGUUCCCCAUCCUCAUCGAGAUGCACGAGCGUUCGAUGUGGGUCGCUCACAACGUCGAGGAGAGCGUCGACGAGGUGCUCGCGGGCGGCAGGCCGAUGGUGCAGGUGCGCUCCAGGGACCAGAACACCGGCCAGGUUCGCUUCAACCGCACGGUGUACGACAUGGACGUCUUCCUGUCCCAGAAGAACGUCGCCUACACCCUCGGGUCCAUGGGCGGUCUCAUGGGUGCCACCGCCGACCUGGCCGAGGCGAGGAGUUUCGGGCUCGCGGAGGAGGGCAUGGCCAACAACGCCGUCGCCAAUGGCUGGUCGCCGUCCGACUACCCGGGAACAAACGACUCCAUCGACGACCCGUACGCGUGGGCGAAUAACCUCGGUAUGGUUCCGG